CAUGAAAACCAUCCAGAUGAGUUGUUUCCUAAAUGUGCUCACGGAGAGCUAGAUGAACGUCUAUGGCUUCAAGUUGAUGGGAUUGUAUUCUUUUUAAGGAACUAAAUCAUAUCAGUGACUUUCCUCCAUUCUGUUGAAAAAAUCUGUUCUCAAAGAUGUUAAAAAACUAUCUUCAGAAGCACAAACUAGUUGUCUUGAAGGUUUUCAUUCAACAUUAAAUGGUUGGCAUCCAAAGAUGACCCACUUUUCUUGGCUUGGUACAUAUUGCAGGUAACUUGUAAUCACUGUUCUCUAUCUGCCAAGCCUUUUUUACUUGUUCCUAGUCAAGAAAAAAAAUUACAUAAUAAAUGGUUUGUUCUGUUUAGGCACGUACUGGCAGUACUUCAUUUCAAUGAAAACCUUCACAGACAGCCAAAAAAAACAAAAAAUGGAACACCAUAUUAUUCUGUGACAUACCCAAAAUUUAAAUCAGGGGUAAGAACUGUUUCUUCAGCACCAUCAUAUUGUAAGUUUAGCAUGUAUGCAUUGGUACUCUUGACUUACACAUCUAACCACUUGUCAUUUUUCCAGACUAUGUUAAUGAAAUUAAAAAUGUCAUGGUUCUUAGUUGUGAGGAAUCCAUGGACAACAUAUUUAAGAAGUAUAAGGAAAAAGUCCCAGAAGCCUUAAACAAAACUUUCUCGGAUCGAAUUUCCAAAACUGAGGCAAUCCAACGGCAUUUGGAUAGGAAACAACUAUCUUCAACACCAUUGUUUCCCACAUAUCAACAGCAAGAUGUACUGCAAGCAAAAGGUUUAGACAAAGAAAAACAAGCUGCUUCAACAGGUCCUUCAGAUC